UGCUGGAGGUAUCAGAAGUGCGAAUGCUGACAUAAGUAACGAUAAAGCGGGUGAAAAGCCCGCUCGCCGGAAGACCAAGGGUUCCUGUCCAACGUUAAUCGGGGCAGGGUGAGUCGACCCCUAAGGCGAGGCCGAAAGGCGUAGUCGAUGGGAAACGGGUUAAUAUUCCCGUACUUGGUGUUACUGCGAAGGGGGGACGGAGAAGGCUAUGUUGGCCGGGCGACGGUUGUCCCGGUUUAAGCGUGUAGGUGUGUGUUCCAGGUAAAUCCGGUUCACUUUAACACUGAGGCGUGACGACGAGGCACUACGGUGCUGAAGCAACAAAUGCCCUGCUUCCAGGAAAAGCCUCUAAGCAUCAGGUAACAUCAAAUCGUACCCCAAACCGACACAGGUGGUCAGGUAGAGAAUACCAAGGCGCUUGAGAGAACUCGGGUGAAGGAACUAGGCAAAAUGGUGCCGUAACUUCGGGAGAAGGCACGCUGACACGUAGGUGAAGUGAUUUACUCACGGAGCUGAAGUCAGUCGAAGAUACCAGCUGGCUGCAACUGUUUAUUAAAAACACAGCACUGUGCAAACACGAAAGUGGACGUAUACGGUGUGACGCCUGCCCGGUGCCGGAAGGUUAAUUGAUGGGGUCAGCGCAAGCGAAGCUCCUGAUCGAAGCCCCGGUAAACGGCGGCCGUAACUAUAACGGUCCUAAGGUAGCGAAAUUCCUUGUCGGGUAAGUUCCGACCUGCACGAAUGGCGUAAUGAUGGCCAGGCUGUCUCCACCCGAGACUCAGUGAAAUUGAACUCGCUGUGAAGAUGCAGUGUACCCGCGGCAAGACGGAAAGACCCCGUGAACCUUUACUAUAGCUUGACACUGAACAUUGAGCCUUGAUGUGUAGGAUAGGUGGGAGGCUUUGAAGUGUGGACGCCAGUCUGCGUGGAGCCGACCUUGAAAUACCACCCUUUAAUGUUUGAUGUUCUAACGUGGACCCGUUACCGGGUUGCGGACAGUGUCUGGUGGGUAGUUUGACUGGGGCGGUCUCCUCCUAAAGAGUAACGGAGGAGCACGAAGGUUGGCUAAUCCUGGUCGGACAUCAGGAGGUUAGUGCAAUGGCAUAAGCCAGCUUGACUGCGAGCGUGACGGCGCGAGCAGGUGCGAAAGCAGGUCAUAGUGAUCCGGUGGUUCUGAAUGGAAGGGCCAUCGCUCAACGGAUAAAAGGUACUCCGGGGAUAACAGGCUGAUACCGCCCAAGAGUUCAUAUCGACGGCGGUGUUUGGCACCUCGAUGUCGGCUCAUCACAUCCUGGGGCUGAAGUAGGUCCCAAGGGUAUGGCUGUUCGCCAUUUAAAGUGGUACGCGAGCUGGGUUUAGAACGUCGUGAGACAGUUCGGUCCCUAUCUGCCGUGGGCGCUGGAGAACUGAGGGGGGCUGCUCCUAGUACGAGAGGACCGGAGUGGACGCAUCACUGGUGUUCGGGUUGUCAUGCCAAUGGCACUGCCCGGUAGCUAAAUGCGGAAGAGAUAAGUGCUGAAAGCAUCUAAGCACGAAACUUGCCCCGAGAUGAGUUCU
rnacentral:rRNA from 1 species